GAUAAACGCUGGCGGCGCACCUAACACAUGCAAGUCGAACGGAGUUAUUUCAGCAGAAGCUUUCGGGUGGACGCAGGGAUAACUUAGUGGCGAACGGGUGAGUAACGCGUGAGGAAUCUGCCUUUCAGUGGGGGACAACAGUUGGAAACGACUGCUAAUACCGCAUAAUGUCAUUCGGAGGCAUCUCUGAGUGACCAAAGAUUUAUUGCUGAAAGAUGACCUCGCGUCUGAUUAGCUGGUUGGUGAGGUAAUGGCUCACCAAGGCGACGAUCAGUAGCCGGACUGGGAGGUUGAACGGCCACAUUGGGACUGAGAUACGGCCCAG
rnacentral:rRNA from 1 species